CAGCAGCCGCGGGAAUACGUAGGGUGCAAGCGUUAAUCGGAAUUACUGGGCGUAAAGCGUGCGCAGGCGGUUAUAUAAGACAGAUGUGAAAUCCCCGGGCUCAACCUGGGAACUGCAUUUGUGACUGUAUAGCUAGAGUACGGCAGAGGGGGAUGGAAUUCCGCGUGUAGCAGUGAAAUGCGUAGAUAUGCGGAGGAACACCGAUGGCGAAGGCAAUCCCCUGGGCCUGUACUGACGCUGAGGUACGAAAGCAUGGGGAGCAAACAGGAUUAGAUACCCCCGUAGUCCCUGUCUCUUAUAC
rnacentral:rRNA from 1 species